CAGCCGUAAACUAUGCGCGUUAGGUGUACUGGUGACCACGAGUCACCGGGGUGCCGAAGGGAAACCGUGAAACGUGCCGCCUGGGAAGUACGGUCGCAAGGCUGAAACUUAAAGGAAUUGGCGGGGGGAGCACCACAACGGGUGGAGCCUGCGGUUUAAUUGGACUCAACGCCGGGAAGCUCACCGGAUAAGACAGCGGAAUGAUUGCCGGGCUGAAGACUCUGCAUGACUAGCUGAGAGGAGGUGCAUGGCGUAGACGUCU
rnacentral:rRNA from 1 species